rnacentral:rRNA from 1 species
UACGUAGGUGGCAAGCGUUGUCCGGAUUUACUGGGCGUAAAGAGCGCGCAGGCGGUCGUUCAAGUCGCGUGUGAAAGCCCCCGGCUCAACUGGGAGCUUGCAGGCGAAACUGCCGUGCUGGAGUGUGGGAGAGGUGCGUGGAAUUCCCGGUGUAGUGGUGAUAUGCGUAGAUAUCAGGAGGAACACCGGUGGCGAAGGCGGGUCUCUGGGCCGAUACUGACGCUGAGGAGCGAAAGCGUGGGGAGCGAACAGG